CUUAGUUGAAGUGAACUGACAGGAUAUCAAUGUUUAUUGCAUCUCUAGGUUAUCUGCAACAGAAGACUGGUGCAUCUGGUGGGUGUUCCUCAGAAAUUCAGACACCAUGUGAGCAGUGGUCCGUGACAACAUUAGAGGGGCAGAAUGCUUCUUCUGCGUGGGACUCUUGUGGUCUUCUCUCUCUUCAGCUCAGUCAGUGGGUUUUUCAGCGAGUAUGGGCCAAAACCGACGACCCAGACCAAGGCAGGCUCCAAAGGAUGGGGCAUGCCCAACUUUGAAACACUGAAAUCUAACAUUCCAUUGUUUGGUUUGGGAUCACGGCUUUUAUUCGGUGGUACUAAAGGGUCUGCUACGACAAAGGUGAGCACAACUUUCCCAGAAGCAACCACACAAGACUAUAUUCUGUCUUCGAAGGACUUGAGCCCAAAAUACCAGCCGACCACAACCUCGUUUGAGGAACUUCAAAGCAGCACUGUCCAGAUAGGCACCUUGUUGCCUUUGAAAUCAGCUAAACUGCCAAUAAUUGACUUACUCAGGAACAAACCACAAAUAGAUAGACCAGAACCUCCUAAACUUGAUCAAAACUACGAUCUUGAUCGCUGGCCCUCCAAUAAUGGCCAAAUCACAUCGAAAACCCCACAAACGAUGAUAUCUAAACCAGUAACACAAACAUACACUGUAUCCACGGCUCAGAGAACCAGCUCCACGCACACUACAACAUUGAAACCGAUUACGGAAACCAUGAACCCUUACAGUGACCAAACUGUACCCACAGACACUCCGUCAACAACGUCAGAACUAAGGACACAAGCAUACACUGUAUCCACUGCUCAGAAUACCAGCAUCAUGCAAACUAUAGCACUGAAACUGAUGACAGAAACCAUGAACACUUACAGUGGCCAAACUGUACCCAUAGACACUCAGGCAACAGUAUCACAACUAAUGAUACCUUCAUUUCAAACCACACAUUUCCUCACACCAGCAGAACCAGAAGCAUCUACCCAACCUUUGACCACAGUUAACACUGGACAAAACACAUUGAGGACAACAAAUAUGGCCUCGAAACCAGAAUGGACACCUUUUAAAACCACUGACAAGGCUCUGGAUGGAUUUACGUGGGUAGAGCAGACCACAGGCCAAUCAGAAGGGGGAAGAGUGCAAAGUGUUGGCCCAGAUCCUACUCCCUCCCUGCCAGCAGGAGGUAAGUCAACCCCUCUCUGUCUUUCCAUUUCCAGCCCAAGCAUAUGAUCUAAGAUGACCAAAAAUUGACACAAUUUGGCCCAUCCUUAGCUGGCAUGGGUGUAUUACAUUGUUAUACCUUUAUUUAAGGUGAAAAUGGGUGUUUAAUGAAUUGCAGAGCAUUAUUGAUUACCAGUCAAGGGUUAGCAGUGGAAUCAGUGCGCCUGAAUAAUUGAUUAAUAACCUCAGAGUCCCUAAAACAUGCUAACUGUUGUCAAUAAUUAGUGAAAAGAAUGCAUUUCAUUUGAAAGUAAGAAGAGGAACCGCCCCAUGAUGGCUGAUGUCUGUUUAUAUAGUUAGU
ensembl:lncRNA